CUCUGCGUGUCCGACAAGUUGUGGUAGAGUCACAUGGGGGGGUGGCACUGGCAGCGAUCUACUGACUACAGCAGCCAUCCUGCCUGUCAGUGACUGGGCGCUGCUGUGUCUCCUAGUACACUUCCUCUCACCAGUGGCCACGGCACCAGCCUCUAUUAGGACUGACUGCCCUUCUCUGUAAUGGUGGCGUACACUUUGUUGUUAUUGUAACCAAGCCCACCGCCAUGCCACCCGUGUGAUGCGUGAUGUCAGUGAGCUGGGGGCAGCCGGAGAUCUAAUCAGCACUGGGUGUUAUAAAUGAGAGUGGAAGUGUGGAGAUUCCCGCCACCCCAGACCUUAGCAUCAUCCAGGAUAUGGAGGAAUCCCAGCCCCAAGUUCCUACCCCUGAAACACCAGCUACCUUUGCAUCACCAGGUCAUUUUGGUGCGCCCCCCCACCCCGGAAGAGAACCCCCCCCCAAAAAAAAAACCACCACCCAGGAGGGUGAAGACCUCAUUUUCACUUUUGAGGAAAUCAAGUCAAGACUUGCUCAGCACACCCCAUCCCCAACCCCCACCCCUGUUCGUCCCCGACCACUACACAAAGUUUGGGGAAUUUAUUGGCAUCAGCAAUGCGUAACCUACCCCCGGUUCAAGCGGACCAGAUUCAGCGUCUCAAUUUAAAGAUGCUGAACAAAGCACGGAAAUCAAAACUCCAUGAUGAUGUCGUACUAUUCGACCGCCACCCUCUCACUCUUCCUCCCACCCAAUCCCUCCCUAUUCCGCCCACCCAACCCCAUAUCAUUCCACCCACCCAACCACAGCCUACUCCCUCACCGACCUGCUCCUCAGCCAUAUACUCUGCUAUGCUGGAGGCAGAGAAGGACAUACCCUAGUUUGAAAAUUUGUAGGCUUCUUAUAAUUCCCAAUAAAUAUUUUGCAGUAUAGGCUAUAUGGUGUUUUGGGGGCAGAUUUUUGAGGGAGGAUACAUGCAUGCUGUAGGUGCAUUAUAUUGGGGUCGGGUCCAUUCAUUCUGCAUUUUACAGCAUGUGUGUAUUCUCCCAAUCAAAUCUGUGCCCAGAACACCAUAUAGCCCUCCAUCUUAGGAGUGAAAGUACCGCCUCAUAUUUAUUGGGAAUUAAAAGAAAAAGAAACUAUUAUUUAAUCCUUUU